rnacentral:tRNA from 1 species
AGGUCUGUCGCCAAGCGGUAAGGCAACGGGUUUUGAUCCCGUCAUCCCAUGGUUCGAAUCCAUGUAGACCUGCCA